GACGAACGCUGGCGGCGUGCUUAACACAUGCAAGUCGAACGGAAAGGCCCUGCUUUUGUGGGGUGCUCGAGUGGCGAACGGGUGAGUAACACGUGAGUAACCUGCCCUUGACUUUGGGAUAACUUCAGGAAACUGGGGCUAAUACCGGAUAGGAGCUCCUGCUGCAUGGUGGGGGUUGGAAAGUUUCGGCGGUUGGGGAUGGACUCGCGGCUUAUCAGCUUGUUGGUGGGGUAGUGGCUUACCAAGGCUUUGACGGGUAGCCGGCCUGGGUGGGUGACCGGCCACGUUGGGACUGGGGUACGGCCCAUACUCCUACGGGAGGCAGCAGUGGAGAAUAUUGCACAAUGGGCUGAAGCCUGAUGCAGCAACGCCGCGUGCGGAAUGACGGCCUUCGGGUUGUAAACCGAUUUCGCCUUAGACGAAGCGUGAGUGACGGUAAUGGAUAAAGAAGCACCGGCUAACUACGUG
rnacentral:rRNA from 1 species